AGAGUUUGAUCCUGGCUCAGGAUGAACGCUAGCGACAGGCUUAACACAUGCAAGUCGAGGGGCAGCAGGGGAGUAGCAAUACUCCCGCUGGCGACCGGCGCACGGGUGAGUAACACGUAUGCAACCUGCCCUUGUCAGGGGGAUAAGCGGAAGAAAUUCCGUCUAAUACCGCAUAAUGCUGCGGGGAGACAUCUCCCUGCAGCCAAAGAUUUAUCGGACAAGGAUGGGCAUGCGGCGCAUUAGCUGGUUGGCGGGGUAACGGCCCACCAAGGCGACGAUGCGUAGGGGUUCUGAGAGGAAGGUCCCCCACACUGGUACUGAGACACGGACCAGACUCCUACGGGAGGCAGCAGUGAGGAAUAUUGGUCAAUGGCCGGGAGGCUGAACCAGCCAAGUCGCGUGAGGGAAGACGGUCCUAUGGAUUGUAAACCUCUUUUGUCAGGGAGCAAAAACUGCCACGCGUGGCAGGAUGAGAGUACCUGAAGAAAAAGCAUCGGCUAACUCCGUGCCAGCAGCCGCGGUAAUACGGAGGAUGCGAGCGUUAUCCGGAUUUAUUGGGUUUAAAGGGUGCGUAGGCGGACAGUUAAGUCAGCGGUAAAAUUGAGAGGCUCAACCUCUUCCCGCCGUUGAAACUGAUUGUCUUGAGUGGGCGAGAAGUAUGCGGAAUGCGUGGUGUAGCGGUGAAAUGCAUAGAUAUCACGCAGAACUCCGAUUGCGAAGGCAGCAUACCGGCGCCCAACUGACGCUGAAGCACGAAAGCGUGGGUAUCGAACAGGAUUAGAUACCCUGGUAGUCCACGCAGUAAACGAUGAAUACUAAUUGUUCGGGUCAAAUGAGAUCUGAGUGAUACAGCGAAAGCGUUAAGUAUUCCACCUGGGGAGUACGCCGGCAACGGUGAAACUCAAAGGAAUUGACGGGGGCCCGCACAAGCGGAGGAACAUGUGGUUUAAUUCGAUGAUACGCGAGGAACCUUACCCGGGCUCAAACGACGGAUGAAUACUUUUGAAAGGAGGUAGUCCUUCGGGACAUCCGUCGAGGUGCUGCAUGGUUGUCGUCAGCUCGUGCCGUGAGGUGUCGGCUUAAGUGCCAUAACGAGCGCAACCCCCAUCGCCAGUUGCCAACAGGUAAAGCUGGGAACUCUGGCGAGACUGCCGGCGCAAGCUGUGAGGAAGGCGGGGAUGACGUCAAAUCAGCACGGCCCUUACGUCCGGGGCGACACACGUGUUACAAUGGCAGGUACAGAGAGAUGCGACACGGCGACGUGGAGCGGAACUGUCAAAACCUGUCUCAGUUCGGAUCGGAGUCUGCAACCCGACUCCGUGAAGCUGGAUUCGCUAGUAAUCGCGCAUCAGCCAUGGCGCGGUGAAUACGUUCCCGGGCCUUGCACACACCGCCCGUCAAG
rnacentral:rRNA from 1 species